CGAUGAAGGGCGUGCUAAUCUGCGAUAAGCGCCGGUAAGGUGAUAUGAACCGUUAUAACCGGCGAUACCCGAAUGGGGAAACCCAGUGUGAUUCGUCACACUAUCAUUAACUGAAUCCAUAGGUUAAUGAGGCGAACCGGGGGAACUGAAACAUCUAAGUACCCCGAGGAAAAGAAAUCAACCGAGAUUCCCCCAGUAGCGGCGAGCGAACGGGGAGGAGCCCAGAGCCUGAAUCAGCAUGUGUGUUAGUGGAAGCGUCUGGAAAGGCGCGCGAUACAGGGUGACAGCCCCGUACACAAAAGCGCAUGUGCUGUGAGCUCGAUGAGUAGGGCGGGACACGUGGUAUCCUGUCUGAAUAUGGGGGGACCAUCCUCCAAGGCUAAAUACUCCUGACUGACCGAUAGUGAACCAGUACCGUGAGGGAAAGGCGAAAAGAACCCCGGCGAGGGGAGUGAAAAAGAACCUGAAACCGUGUACGUACAAGCAGUGGGAGC
rnacentral:rRNA from 1 species